rnacentral:ncRNA from 1 species
GCAAAGUAGGAACGGUGCGUUAAGUGAUGAGAGGACGGGAAGUUGCCUCUUUUACGAAAAAACUUAUGUUUUGCGAUGCCGAUUCCGCAUUCCGUUG